rnacentral:lncRNA from 1 species
GUAAGACAAAAAUAGUAAUUGAUAAAAAAAGAAAGGGCUGCUUAGCCAGUCUGGGUCGUUAAAUGCUUUCAUCGUCUGUAAAAAAAUAUGUCACGAAAGGUCCCUUUUAGUUCAAUAUCGUGAAAAUGUUUCGUAUAAAUUUUUUUUUAGAUCAAUUUAAAAGUAAUUUUUUGGAAAAGGACAUUAUUAUAAAACCAAAGGCCAGC